CUCCGUAGGUGAACCUGCGGA
rnacentral:rRNA from 1 species